rnacentral:rRNA from 1 species
UACGUAGGGGGCAAGCGUUGUCCGGAAUCAUUGGGCGUAAAGCGCGUGUAGGCGGCUUGGUAAGUCUGCUCUGAAAGCCCGGGGCUCAACCCCGGGAGGCGGGUGGAUACUGUCAAGCUCGAGUCCGGAAGAGGAGUGUGGAAUUCCUGGUGUAGCGGUGAAAUGCGCAGAUAUCAGGAAGAACACCCGUGGCUAAGGCGGCUCUCUAGUACGGUACUGACGCUGAGACGCGAAAGCGUGGGGAGCGAACAGG